ensembl:lncRNA
GUAACUUCCUUCGUAUUUACUUAAACUUUAUCAAGGUUCAUUUGAUAACCAACAAGCCUGAGAUACAACAUUUCUACUCACAGCACUGAUCUAAGAACUGCCUUUGCUUUUUAUACUGUAGAAAAGUACUAAAGUACUAAAGAAGCGUAACCGUUAAAAUGACCUUAAAUAUCCGACGGACUCUUCAAGAACCCUUGAGGAAGCCUUUUUUUUUUUUCCUCGUCAGUGUGUAGUAUAUUAAGAUCCUUAGCAUUCCUGACCAUGUUUCAAUUAUGGGCUGUUCAGUCUUGGUUCCUCUUAAGGUUUUAAGGAGAUUUUUUUUUUUUUUGGCUUCUUUUUAAUUCGAUCUGAUGUGAUUAGAGGCACACACAGGCCUCAACCUGACCACGGAAUCCCUGUUGUAAUCAUUCUGUCACAUUCUCAGCUGGUGGAGAAGGUGAUGAUGGAGAACGUUGAUCCCCUCUGACAGAAGAAGAUGCUACUUCAUGAUGCCUGCGUGUGCCUUACAUUUCACCCCGGUGAGGGUUUAUUGAGAUUCCAUUUGCGCUUUCGUCUCCUGACAGGCACACACACGCUGGCGGCGGAGACAGGGGCAUGAAUAAAACAGUUGUAUUAGACGCCGUCUUUUGUCAAACAAGGAAGUCCGCUUAUUGGGAACUGGCGAACUUGUUACCGACAGUAGCCCUUCCCUUUUAGCAAAUUGCUUCAGCUAAGGCCUGAUGUUAAUUUGAUGAACUGCUUCCUUGUACGAUAAAAAAGGUCUCUUUGUCUGUGUUGUGUGUCUUUAAGGAUUGUUCCCCUCUUGGUGUACAUUUGCAUUCGUUCUACAAGCGAUUUUUCCCCCAGUUUACUUCACCUAGAGCUCAUCGUUCAUUCAAGAUCUUGUUAUAUUUUCACCUCUAUCCUGUACAAUGUUUAAGUGUAUGACAGCUCCAGAACGUCUCCGUAGUGUAACACCAAGUUCGCCGUGUGACGAACACCCCAUCCCCCACGCCUUCCACACCCCCACCUUAUGAACUCAUUUUCAUUACACUCUGAUCAGCAUGUGUGUGUGUGUGUGUGGUGGUUUUAAUUAGCGGGCCGGUAGAAGAAGCCGCGUGUGUGAGCGCCUGCUUGCCAACCGCCAUUUCCCAUCAGGCUAAUGGCUGCUCACACUCCGAACCCCCAGGGCAGCUGGCAGGGCCGGCCUCUUCCCCACCGGCACUGUACCACCUGACUACACCAAAUGUAUCUAAGUCUCUCUCUCUCUCACACACACACACACACACACACAUACACACACUUUACUUUCUUUUUAUAUGGGAAGAGAACAGGAAGAUAGCUCCACAUUACUUUUAACUAUACUUCACAUCUUAUUAUGUGUGAUUCCCAUAGAUAAGAAUUUUUGCCCACUGUUCUUGGCUCCAGAUCCACUACACUCCCUGACCAAGAUAAAGCAGUUCCUGAAGAUCAAUAAGUGAGUGAAUGGAAAUCAUGUUCUACUAAAACUUCAACAGCUGCCCUUAGGUUUGGAGAAAACAGCCUUUGGAAUCUUCAGAGCAUUUCGAAACACGUUGAAAAUAUCAUCUGUGGUAAUCAGACGUACGAUACAGAUAAGGUAGAUGGAGAUCAGGAUAAAAAAAAAAAAAACUCUUGGGGAUUUCUUUAAUGCGUGGGUCCGGAAUCCUCCACUGGCGAACUUUUUGACCGAAAUGGACAAAUAAAGACAACAAAACUGCAACAUUUUAGCAAUAUUUGCUCCUCAAAUGGUUGGACUUGGCCUCCAAGCUAUACAGUGCAGAAGGCCCUGCUUCAGGAUCUUCACAGUUUUGUGCUAUUGAUUGCUCAGGAGGCGCGCUGAUGCCAUCUGUCACGAGGUGGAGAUUGCCACCUGAUGCCAGUCUGAUGGAGGCUCUGGACAGAUCCGAGCAUUGCUCUCUCUGCCAUGUUCAGCUGUUUUCAGCUCUCUGUGGAGCUGCAUGCCUGAAAAGCCUCUGCCAUACUUUCUCACAGGCAUGGGCAGGAGUGUUUUCUCCAGUUUGCUACUUGGUCAUGCGGCCCAGAAGCUGUCUUCUUGAGAAAACAUGAGAGCGUUCAGUCCAGGUCAUUUGAGCAGUGUUUUGCCCCGAGGCAAUGUGCCGGUGCUAGAGGUGCAUUUUGAGCAACGAGAUGCAUCCAUUAUGGUUUCAAAUCAUCCCUGGAGUUGCUGUCGUGCAUGUACACAUGUGUGUCUCUGCGCAGGCCAGCAGUCCCCCAGGGAAGGGUGAUUAGAAAGUUGGCUAGUGUUGGCGCUCGCUAGCAUUCCAAUCAUACAUCUGUAUCUGCUCCCUCUGGAAAGUUCCGUGACCAUCUGAGGGGUGGAGAGAGAUAUUUGUUUUUUUCCCUUCUCUGCUGCCAUCUGCCCCUCUGUUUUUCCCUAAUCAAAUUGAUUACAGCAACAAAACGGACAAACCGCUCAUUAGCAUGGCACUUCAGUUAGCUGUGGCUCUGGGACAGAUGGAGUGGGUUUCGACCCUCGUUGUACAACCUCUCGUAAAUCUUAAUCUGUGCUAAUAAGGCUCGACACUCUCUCAGACAACACCAAGGCUGUUCAGAUUGCCCAGAUUCUUGCUUCAGAAACUUCCUGUUCUUUAAAUUCAAAAUCAUUUGUUUUGUUAGGAACAAAAGAGUGCUUGGUUCUCAAAAUGCAGUAAUUUAGUCCCAGAAUCCAGACAAAUCGUUGCCAUGUAAUAGCUUUCCCCUAUACAGCAUGUAUCUAUCUGUUAUUAGUCUAUCUUCUAAACAAAUUGGCAAUUGCUUAACUUCAAAAAAAAAAAAAAUGAUGGGAGUUAAAAGGCAUAUCUAAUCUUUCACCUUCACACACCAGUGGUUUGGUCUAAGGAGGAGAUACUCGUGCUAAUGAGUUAGAUGCUAAUUAGCACAUGAAUGCACAAGAUGGGAUUGUUGCAAGCAGAUCUUUUAAUGGUAGGCCAUUGCAAAUUGGUGUCUCUUCCCAAGACAUUUCUCUACACACUGAGGAGAAAUAUCAUUGCACCUCACAUAGUCUGUCAAACAGAAGACAGCGGUUUAAGCCAAGCUCUCAGCUAAAAGAUCAUCUACUGAUUUAGCAUGGGAUGUAUCUCUGCCUCUUUGUUCCGCGCCCAUGUUUUCCAUUAUCUUGUUUUCUGGACCGUAUGCGAAUUUGGUGUGUUUAGUUUAUACUGCUGUAAGCUGGAGAGCAACUUUUGAGCAGAUCAAGAAUCUUCAAAGCAGGAUUUAAGUAGAGUAUAAACUCUUCUAUUUGGUAGAUUCUUUAAAACAGCAAUCAUUAUCACCAUGAUAUCAUCAUAAUGUCACAUAAAAGAGAUGGCCUAGAGGCAUAUUGGAUUUAGUUUGAUCAAAUCUGGGCAUGAUCAUUUUUUUUUUUUGAACCAGCGAGCUGAGCGUAGCCGCAAGCUACACUUUUGUGAUCUAUUACGAGCGAUUAAUAUUGAUCACAUGAAAAGCAGCGCAAAGUCUCUUUGGUCUUGCUUGGGUUGGCCUUCUGGCCAUCCAAGUGAGCAAGUCAAAGGUGACAGAGAAUAGGAAGAAUUGCAUGAAUAAUAUUAAAACAACUAAAGACAUUAAAAGAGGAGAUGAGACACGAUGUCUUCAUGCCUUGGGACAUUAGGAGGAUCUGGUUCAUCCGUGUAAAUGGUGAUGUGUGUGUGAAUAAAUAAAAUGUGAACUUCCAGAAUAAAUGAAGCCUGAUAACCUUUAGGUAAGUCUGAAAACCAUGGGGAAUUUUUAAGUGGCCAUACAGACCUGGGUAAGCCUAAAGAGCUCUAGCUAAGUCUAUGGACCAUUAGGUAAUCCUUAUUUAUUUAUUUUUCAAAAUGUUUUGCUUUUUGUAUCAAUCAGAAGAACCCACUGCCACUUGAUUCAGCUCAUUAGAUCAUUUUUGGCCCCUCAGCUUUGUAUCAACUUGCAAAAGCUAACAAGCAAAUGGUGAUUCCACUGAGCCUUUGAUUUCACUGAUAGGAUACCAGACUUACUGAAGUAAAUUGCAGACCAUGAGGUAAGACUAUAGACCACUAGGCAAGCCUAUAGACCAUUAGGCAAACCUAUAGACCACUAGGUAAACCUAUAGACCACUAGGUAAGCCUACAGAACACUAGGUUAGACUAUAGCCCAUUAGGAAAUCCUAUAGACCACUAGGUAAACCUAUAGACCAUUAGGCAAGCCUAUAGACCACUAAGUAAGCCUAUAGACCACUAGGCAAGCCUAUAGACCAUUAGGCAAGCCUAUAGACCACAAGGUAAGCCUAUAGACCACCUAGUGGUCUAUAGACCAUUAGGCCUAUAGACCAUUAGGCAAGCCUAUAGACGACUAGAUAAGCCUAUAGACCACUAGGCAAGUCUAUAGACCACUAGGCAAGCCUAUAGACCACUAGGUAAGCCUACAGACCAUUAGGUAAGACUAUAGACCACUAGGCAAACCUAUAGACCAAUAGGCAAACCUGUAGAACGCUACUGUAGGCAAGCCUAUAGACCACUAGAUAAGCAUAACGAACACUAGGUAAGCUUGAAGAGCACAAGCCAAUUUCAGCUCAUUAGUUAUUUCCUGGUGUCUUUCCAAUUUCUGGGAGUUUUGAAAAGCUCCCAUGAUGUUGGAUUUCUGUAUGUGAGGAAUUUAGCAUGUUCCUAAGUCUGUGUAGGUUUCGUCAGGGUUCUCAGGCUUCCCCCUAACCUUUCUAAAAGCAUGCCAAUAGAUGGAUCAGGAAAAAAACAAUGGUACCUCUGCAGGCAGGUGGAGUCUCCACAGACGCUUUAAUUUCACUGAUGGGAAAACAUACCACUUUCCAAGCUCCGAUGUGAGACCUUUUCAGUUUUAUCAUCAAUCCUGCUUAUGUGAAAGCAGAGGUGAGUCAAAUUGCCUACUUAGACCCACAGGUGAGUCGCACUAAUGGCUAAGUGCUGGGAAGGAAAGAAAGAGAGAGGUAGAUGCUUUCAGACCUGGCAAACUGUCUACUUUGGAAGCACAAUGUUUCCUCUGUCUCCAGAGCAGAUCAGUAUCCCUGGCAGAAAAAGCGCUUCAUGUUUGUCUCUGUUGGUAUUUCUUCAUGUUGUUGAUUUCAGGUCUGACUAGCGUUGACAGCUAAUAUUAGUAACAGAAUUUCUCUCUCGAUCUCUGUCUGUCUCUGUGAAUCUUGUCGUUUUUACCAGACAUGGUUCUCUAACUGAUUCAGAUCUCAGGUAGUUGGGAAACACAUGUUUUUGUCUUGAACAUGCUGGCAGAGUAAAUUGCUGCCUGUCGAGCCUGAAAAUAACCUGUCAACCAGGCACAGGUGUCUAUGCAUGCAGGCUCUGAUGGACGGUGAUUAAAAAAAGUGUGUGUGUGUGUGUGUGAUGUGAGCCACGUAAAUGUGUAUAGAUGUAAUAGGGAUUUCAGUUGGAAUCUGGCUACAUUGUGUGGCAGACAGGGAGGUGUUUGUUGUGACUUGAUUUGAUCAUGAGUGUGUUAAUGUCAGAAGAAAAAACAGCAUCAGGUCCAUACCGAAACGAAUCAAAUGUGUUAGAUAACCAUCCAUCCAUCCAUCUUCUACCACUUUAUCCUUUUCAGGGUCACGGGGGAACCUGGAGCCUAUCCCAGGGAGCAUGGGGAGCACAAGGCGGGGUACACCCUGGACAGGGUGCCAAUCCAUCGCAGGGCACAAUCACAUACACACUCACACACCCAUUCAUACACUACGGACACUUUAGACACGCCAAUCAGCCUACCAUGCAUGUCUUUGGACUGGGGGAGGAAACCGGAGUACCUGGAGGAAACCCCCGCAGCACGGGGAGAACAUGCAAACUCCGCACACACACGGCCCCGGCGGGACUCGAACCCCGGACCCUGUGAGGCGAACGUGCUCACCACUAAGCCACCGUGUUAGAUAACCACGUUGCAUAAAUAUAAUACUCAUAUAAUGGGCCAUAGUAGGCAAAAUGAAAUAUGAAUAUUUUUCUUAAAUCAUCUGUCAGUCAAGCUUGGUGGGUGGGGCCAGCUGGAUACAAAUAAAUCUAUUCAGGAAUGUUUCUCAGGAGCAUUCACAAUACCACAAAAAAAAAAAAAAAAGCACUUAGUUGGGAAAAAAAUGUUUAUAUCCAAUCUGACUUAUGAUCUAUGAGACUCAGAAACUACACACCAGUUUAAUGGAUGAUUUGUGCUUUUUUAUAUCAAAUACCUGAAACAAAGCAAUCCAAAACAAAUCCACAAAUUAAGACAAAUAAGUCUUGCUAUUUAAUUAGGACAAAAGUAAUGGCGCCCUAUAAAUGGAGGAACGGUUUGCGUGUGCACUGCGACGGUCGCGUUGUAUGACUGGAAGAUAAUUUUUUUUCCCGUUUAGUUAUCAUUUUGUCAUUUUUAGCUCUCUGUGAGUUUUGUAAAUCAGUCGUGCCGUGAACAAGCCCAGUAAUUUGUAGGCGAUCGGAUCGGCGCUAAUACGACGGAAAUUAGCGUUAUAGAAACUUUUUUAAGUCUGGCAGUACUUAGUUUGGUUUGGCAUCACGAAAUCAUGUUUCACACAAAACUUUGGAAGUGAUUUAGAAAAGAGGCCUAUUGUUGGCUGAUGGAAGAGUAAUAAGGUCAUGUCUGUAGUCAUUUCAGCUAAUAUUAGCUCGUUUGUAGGAAAAGCCGUACUCAAUGGGUUUCCACCAGUUUCUGGUCAUUUGUCAAAAUGUUUCGCAGCUUUUAUUAUUCUCGCAAUUUCCGUUAUGUUCUGUUGACCAAAAAUAUGUUUGUGCAGAAUUCUACAUCAAUGAUGUCAGAAUUUGGUGUCACAGUGGUGCAAUGGGUACUGUAGUGUUUCCACCGCACAACUCAAGCUUGUUUUACUGUUGGGGGUGUUUCACAUCAUCCCUGUAGGUUUCCUGUCGGUUCUCCGGUUUCCUCCCACCUCCCAAAAAAAUGCUGGCUAUUUUUAAAUCCACCGCAAGGUGUGAAUGAGUGUGUGCAUGGUACUUUUUGCGACGGAUUGGUGUCCCAGCCAGGGUGUAUUCCUGCUUCACAUCCAGUGUUCCUGGGAUAGGCUCAGGAUCCACCAGCGCCCAGAGCAGGAUAAAGAUGAAUGAAUGAAUCGCUGACUGACGGCGUAACGUUAGCAGCUAAUUUGCUCGACUCUGAUGGGAUCGGUUUACCCUCUUAGAAGGAUGAUGAUGGAAGUACUAUGAAUGCUAUGACUCGUUUUGUUCCUAAUGGGAUUUUUGGGAUCAAUUUGCUAUAGACCACUGAUGCUAGCUGAUUCCACCCACAGGGGUUGUGUGGGAGGUUUUAAGGAGGGAUUCUUUAGUCAAUGGAGGCAAAGCAGAAAUGUUCAGCGUUGAGAUUGGGGCGCUAAUUAGCAGAAUUAGCCACAGAUCAAAGCAGACAAUUAAGGAUGGUGUUGGCUGAGGGGCCGGCCUCAUUUACAUCACAACACAGCAGCGAGCUUCUCAUUAUGGACAGCCAAAACAAUACGGCCGAGGAAUCACGCCAGAGCCUGUCUUACCUCUCUCUCUCUCUCUCUCUCUCUCUCGGCUGCUCUCUCGCUCUUUCACACACUCUCUGGCUUUCUCUUUAUCUCGGUGCGAAAUGUUGAUACGCAUGUACGGAAAACAAAACCCCAUUUUCACUUUUAACAGUCGACUUAAUUAAGGAGGGAAUUAAGUUGUUUUAUGUGCGCACAAUCCGAGUACGUAGCUUGCCCACAGAAAUAUCGUGCUGUUAAAAGUUCUGGCACAUCCAUUCAAGCAGGCCCAGUCAAAUAAAGGGGCUGAUGGAGGACGAGUCUUUGUCCCUUCUGUCAGCGUUUGCUCUCACAGCCUGCAGAAAGCUCUCUCAAUUCAGUGUUCCCUCCACUUGAGGGUAGUUGAAAUAGAAAAGUAGACGUAUAAACCCUUUUUGGGGAGGGGGAGGGGGUGAGAGAACUUCCUGCACCUUUUCUUUUUGUCCGCUUUGACUCUUGAUGCCCGGAACAAAUUACAGGAAGGACGUCAGUCAAACUAGAGCAGCUGAUGGGCUGAGGGAGCCGAGUCAGAAGAAAUACAGCAUUGUGGGUUCUGUGAGCAAUGGUUUAAAACAUAUCUUUUCACCUAACACGUUCCCGUUUUAGUCCUUUUCUCUUUUUUUGUACAGAGACUUUGGGUGUUAGAAAGGCACCAUAUAAAUGAAAAACAUUCAUUGUUUAUUGUUAUUAUUAUUAUUAUUAUUAUUAUUAGUCUUAAUCUCUCGGGGGGGGGGGGGGGUUGCCUGUGACAUACAUACCAACACCAUACAUCUAUUCCACUUUGUAAAGAAUGUACGGUUUUUCUUGACUUUUUGAUCUUCCUGUAUAGAUCAUGUUAAGUGGAAUGUUCCGGCAUUUAUGGAGGGCACGACGUCUUUUCAACGUUCGAUUUCAUGUGAAUAUCCACGCUCUGACUCACGUAGGAAACGUUCAAGAAAAUAUAUUCUAAUUGAAAUGUAAAAAAAAAAAAAAAAAAGAUAAAAAAUUGGGAUUCGUAUGCAUGUGUGAGUUUUCCGCUGCACUGUCAGUCUUGGCUGUGAGCUCCAGCUGGAGUGUUUGAUGAAUGGCAGGUCUUCGGCAGUCGACCUCGCCUUUUAGCUGAAGUGCCAUUCUUCUGUGCUCCGGAGACGUGGAACGUGCAUUUGUUCUUACCGAAGCCAUGAAUAUGUUUUCGGGGGGCUGCAGUUUAAAUGCCAUUCACUCUCCAUUGGAGCCUGCACCUCAGGGCUCGGGCCAAUUAAAGCGAACGGCAGAACUUCACCGCUCGCCGCUCACCUCUGCAAUGGGAAUAGGUGCGUUCGUAACCGGCCGUGGCGUGGUACGCCGCUUCACUGGGCACUGCUUAGGCAUAAAAACGGUUUUCAAUAAUAAAAAAAAGGCCCUGUUUUGAGCCAGAACUUAGAGAUGAUUCUAGAUUGAACCCAAUUGUAAAUAUAAUACCAAACCUUUGAUUUAAUGCCAUAUAUUAUACACCGAAGCAUGCAGUUAGAGGUUCAUGCCUUGUUAUCCAAAUGCCAUACGCUGUUAGUUUUGACAUUUUAUACUUUUCAUUUCAGCUGUCAACCAGGCACAAAUUUCCUCGUUUUUGUAUAUUUUCAUGUCAUGGUGUUCAGGAAAAAAAUGGAUCCACGUUUAACUUUAAGAGAUUUUUUUUAAAUGGCUUUAAUUAACAGUUUAGAUUGAACACUUUAGCGACAAAGUAAACGGCUCACUCAAAAUAAAUCCUCAUUUAAAAGCUGAAACUUCAAAAUCUUCACCCAAGUUAAAGAAACGGGAAAACUCUUACGUUUACAUGGGGG